GACAAUCAGAUGCAAGGAGCAAGAUCAUGAGCCACUGAGUCUGCUAGACUUGAAGAGGCUUGGGAAACCCACACAAAGUUUGUUGGUUUUUAUGCUAAAGAAGAAGAAACCUUGAGAAAAUAAAUAGCAACUACUGUUUUCUCCCAGAGACAAUGUGGAGAAACAGUCUACAAAUGUGUACUUUCAGUCUUACCAUGGGAUGUGGGGUAAGCAUACAUUCCAACUUAGUACAGGUCCUCAGUUGUACACCAUUCCCAAACAAACAACCAAAGAAAACAGAUAAAAAAAAGCAAGAUGAACUUGAAUGAAGAAAUAUUCUAGUGGAGCUUGAGUAAUCCAUAUUUUAAAAAUUACAAGUGUCACGGGUAAUUUGAAGGCAGAUCAAGCAUCUUCUAAAUCAAAAUGGAUGGACCUCACUAGAAAAUACUACCAACAGUUAUAAAGGGAAUGAUGUUGAUCUCACAAGUGUCGCUCUCAAUGCAGCAGGAGUGAAGAAGCCAAGAACUCAGUAAACACUGAGCUUGUUUUGCCAUUUAAAGUAAGUUAGUUUUCAUAAGGAUGAAAAAGUGCCUCCAGAGACAACACGUUGCUGAGAAGAAUUAGACGACCAAAGUGUUUGUUCGCCACAUGGGAAUUCCUUAGUACUCAUCAAGAUAUCUGGUAUCCUUCCUUGAGAUAUCAUUUAUUAUGGGACUGUUUAUCUCUUUUCUUAUCUGGGCAACAGAUGUGUUGGCCUAGAUUUGAAGACUCCAUUCUUUUCUGAGCUAUCAAAAAAUCAAUGGAGAGGAAUGCGACAACAGAAAUGAAACCAUGUCCAACAAACAAAGAUUCACAGUCGUUGCAACUCUCAAGCUACUCCUUUUGUCCUUGUUACUUGUAGAAAAUGUGGACUGACUAUAUUUAGUAUAGUAAAAUAUUGGUUUGUCCCAAACUGUUUCUGAUGUUUCAUUGUUAUCCAUGUGGCGAAAGUGAUGGAAAAGCUGUGCUACUACUCUCAAAGAUCUUUGUAUUAAUAUUGCACAGCCUGCAAUAUUCAGCCCUCAGUCUGUUUCUGAGAACUAAAGAGUCAAAGUAUGUUUUCAGUAUAUUUUAU